AUAAUAGGCAAACAAACAUGUUGCAUUUAACCUAAAGUGAAAGUUGUAAGACAAAAACACGGACAACGCCCUAAAGCUUAACCAGUGUUGUCCGUUUAAACUCUAACCUAUGUAUUGACUUUAAACAAUCGAUUUGGACUAUGAGCUCAUGUUAAAGUUUGCUGAGGUAAUACAUCAGUGGAAAACAAACUCGUAGACAUAGAUCGUGGGAUAAGACCUAUUCGUCACAUGUCAAACUGUUUCCACUCCACCUGUUGACAGGUGGAAACGGUGUGGAGUAUAAUGAAGGAGGAAAAUCAGAGAUUCUCAGGUAUUCCUUCAUCGUCACCAACUCAUUUAUGGUGCAAGUAACACGCAUACGACAGAGCACUUUGUCCAUCUGGUGACUUGAAAAUGUCAUUGAAAAUGAUAAUAGAGAGCAGAACAUAUAUGAAGCUGGUUCAAUCAUCGUUCAAUAUGUUUAGGUUUGACUAAACCUUCAAUAUAGUAAAGUGAACAAUGUCAGCGUGGGUGCACUUAAAUGUUUGCAUGUGGGUGUGUAAUGAAUAGCAUGAUUAACAGCAGUGUUCUGGCAUUUGUUCUAUUCAUAGUACACUGAGUGACGUCUCUUGGCCCUUGUUAUAACUCCAGGUAUAGCAGACAAUAGUUAAACAGAGAUUAACAUGGAUGUACUUGUGCCUGUGCUGUCAAAUGGAAACUAAAGUAAAUGACAUCUCUACAAACAAAUAGCUGUUUUUUUUUUUAUUGGCUAAAGUACAUAAACCACAUGAUGGUGAGGUUGUGGGUUGGGAAUGAUGUAGAUAAGGAGUGUGCCCUGUGAAGGACUGCAAAGCACAUCCAGAUGACUGAGACACAACACUGUUAGACAAUAUAACCCUUAUAGACACAAAGCAGCACAGUUUACACAGGGCUAUAAUCUGAAAUGAGAGGACUCCGUGCAGAGCUACAAAUUAAAUAAAGCCCAAAUCUGGAUUCCAUUAUCAUGCCUCCCAAUGCCUACAUUUUUGCAACAUUUAAAUGGCAAAAUAAAUAUGAGUGUUGCCCCAUCAAACAAAGCUCUAACCAGUAUUUGUUUUGUGGGAACGCUCUCAGAAAUGAAAAGCUACCCCCUGUAAACACAGCCUUUGCGGCCUAAAAUUUUCAAAUGCCACCAAAAUGUUCCGGGUGUAGUAAUUGCUGGCAGAUUUGUAGAUGUGUGUUUUAAUUAGCCUCGACAGGCUGCUGAUGGCAUUACACAAGUUGUUCUCAUCAAAAAGGCCCCAGAGAUGGAAAACCAAAAGAGAUCAACCAUGUGGACACGAUACAGUGAAUCGGAAUGAGCCCGGAGUUAAAGUUUGAAACCAACAGCUACAGAAGAAUGACCACAUAUCUGAACAGCUGCCCUGAACCUUAAUGCUAUUGAGGUAAUUGCUGAAAGGUUCUGUGUUUAACUAUGUUCAAGUCUAUGGAAGAUAGAUAUAAUAGUUGAUCUAACGCAGUAGUCUCAAAAUGGACUUUGGACUCUUGUCUUCCCUGAAUGGAGCAAACAUCUCUACUCGCGUUGCUGUUAUCCACCUCUCUUGCUCAGAGUUUUUACGCCCCUUUAAUCCUGCGUGCCCGCGCUGCCUCCGCUCGCACCUCAUCAACUCCACGCUAACACAAACCUCCUCUCAUGUGGCUUCCCCUUUCCCCCCGGCACGGGAUCCACAUCACUGGGACUGCAGCCGCCAUGCGGGGCCUUUUUCCACUUCUACGGCCACGCUCGGCCAAGAUUUAUUCAACUCUUCAACCAAAAUGUAAUUUUCACCGUGUUGGUUUUUCAGAGUGAGGGGAGUGGGUAGUGAUUUUUUUUUUGGUGCUUUGAGAGUCAAGUCUACUCAGCUGGGAUAGUGGGACAGCUCGCUCCAACACCAAUACCCCAAACCCAGAUAGACAGAUACUCUGAACACGGCCAUAGAAAAGAACAGCAUUUACCGUUGCAGAGUGAGUAAAUGUACCUUAUAAAACCAAUGAAAAUUAUAUGUAAUAGAAGUGAUGUACCAUUCUGUGGUUGUACUCAGGAGACUCACAGACUUCAAGGAGACAGCUCACAUAGAUCACAACCAGUGAAUCAUGACGUGCCAAAGUAUGCAGUGAGCAUAGUGAGUGGCAGAGAAACGAAGGCAAACUAGAUAGAGAGACAAGAGAAAAGGCUCAGAGACGUAAGAAAAGCAAAAGGCAAAAGGUCAAAGAUACAAAUCGCACUCUGAGAAUCAUUCCCUUUGCCAAGACGGAUGUCUAAAGUGAAUAUAUAAUGAAGGUUAACAGUUUCACAACGUGUUCUGCCGGUUCUAAACUGGGGCUCUGACUGCUCCUACCGGUUGUCUUGCUACGACUCAGGCCGCCCUCUGUCCCAGGGGAUUUUUACAGAUCCGUCACCUCACGCCUCAAUGCCAAUCAAGUUCAAAGGAAAGGCCCGGUGAACGCAUGGGGACGUGUGACUCUAGGUGGCCGUGUUACGUGUGUCACGCCAAUCUGAGGAGUUUUGUUCCCCUCUCAUGACGGACCGGGCUAAAUAUACACGAUACAGCAAAUAGUGACCCACCGUUUCCUCUCUUGGUGAGCACCAGUGUUCACUGGAUGCAAUGAAGUAGUUUGACUUCUGUAGCUUAGCUUAGCUUAACUUAGCAUAGUUUAGAUUUGGCAUGUGGAAAAGUUAGUUUUUUCAAUAAUUCUUUCAUUAUUGUUAUUAUUUCAUACCAAUGAAAUGUAUCAUGUUCACACUCAUAUAUUAUCUAUCUAUAAUUUAACAAGGCCGAUGUUAGUUUUCUCUAUUUUGCCACUAGUGGGACAGUUCACGACAAGCCAAGCUGCGGUCAAUAUUGCCUAGUAUUACUGUCCAGUUAUAUCGUCGUAAAGGUAGUUGUAAAAAGUUAUAAUAUUUUUCCAUUUCAUCCAAGGCUUGAUUCACAAAGGAAUGAUGAGGAAACGUUUCGGUCUUUUGUAACAACAACUCUGCUGUCAACACCACUUUCACAAGUGCUUUUGUGAGAGGGAUCAUUUAAGUAAAUGUAAGUGCACUGUACACCCCUUUACAGUUAGUGGAAUGAAUGAGAAACUUGCUCCUGUCUAUUAUCUCUAAGAAAUAAUAAAAGGGACUUGAAAUCGUGCGCACUAUACACACCCAAACACACGCAAACACAGACAAGCGACACACUGCUCUUCGUCUUCCUAUUUGUGCAAACUCAAUCAAAUGAUUUUCUGAAUAGCAAUAAAGCAGUCUUUAUUUUGCUUGGCUGGGCAUGCAUCCCGUCCCCCGUCCCCCCCCACCGCCUCUACUGCGACUCCCAGCCCUCUAACCGCACCCAGCAGGAUCGGUUUUCCCCCCAGAAUCCCACUGAAGCGCUGCCAUGUCGGCUGGAGACAAUCAGCCGAAAAUGCUCCUAAGAUAUUCCUGCUUCUUUUCAAAAGCCCAAAAUUCAAUUUAUGGACACAUUUAUUACCAUGUCUGUCAGUGACUAGAAGGGAGUUUCAUAAUCAGGAGCACACAUCUGAUCUGGUCACAGCAGGCCGCCUCGCUUGGCCAAUAUGCGCUCUAUUACACGGUCAGAGCCAGCCGACCCACAGAGGAAAAGGAAAACAUGAGCAAACAAAAGACUAGGUAGUUAGACAUGGAAUGGGGGCCCUCAGAUGUAGCAUUUAAAAAAAAAAAAAAAAGGGCUGAUCUGAUUUAGGAGUGGGGCCGCAGGGAGAAGAUCCUUCAACUCAGUACCAGAGCAGGGACCAUGAGAUGAGAGAUCACAUAGCACUCUCCCAAAACUACACAGCAUUCCCACAGCACACUUCCCCUUUCUGAUGUUAUUAAAAACAUAAACGGGAUAUUUUUGUUGUUUAAUGAUGUUUCUGUCGGCCUCUUAGUAGCAGAGGCUUGAAAACCUUAAGGGCUUCUUUGCACGGUUGAACACCUUUUCAUCCAGUUGCGGUCUUGUAUCCUACACCAACAGUUUCCAUUGUUUGUCAUAUUUUUUUGAAAGUUGCCAAAAACUACACAAGAUCCGCUUUUAAACUCCAAUAAAGUAGACAGAGGGUGGCUUGUUAGGGGCGAGCUACACCAACACUGAGUCCUGAACGAUUUACUAUCCCUGCUCCGCUUGUGAAACAUAGAUUCUAAUGAGUUCUCUGCAGGCGGCGCGUCACUCAACUCUGGAACACGAGGGGCAUGGACUGGACCAAGAGGCAGUGAUUGAGGGCUUUAGUCCUAUGUGGAGUCUGCGGUUUGUGGUGUGUGUGUCUCAUACGUACACCAAUCAGUGGUUCUUGGUCCAGUGGUUGGACAGAGUGUCAGUGAUGUCUGAGAGCCACUGUUCACACACGAUGUGUCGAGUCAGACUGAAUACCCCUGGAGAGAUGCAAAACUCAGGCAUGCACCAUAAAUCAGUUUACGCACAGUGGUCCAGCUAAACUCUUGCCAGUGCUCAGUCUAGUGAAAACAGGAGAAAAAAAGUAGCCUAAGCUCCCCCUAGAGGCCAAAACUAGAGGCUGAUUCUGUUAGGCAAGCGAAGCGUGUCCUUCGUUAGCUGAAAGAUCACGUUUUACCACAGGAGCAACACGUUUACUGGUGCAGAGGGCUCUGUGAAAUCUCAACCAAAAAGAUUCUCUGUUUGCCUUCCAGGGCAAUUAGGGAGGCUAUCACCUGACACUCACGCAGGUAAUGUCCUGGAUUUAAGCCAGAACUGAAUUUCAUCAUGGUCAGUCUGACUGCGGCACCCUUGGAAAAUAUGUGCAGAAACUGAAAACCACACUUGCAAAAUUGCCUGCUUGUCCCCUGUGUUGGUUUUGGAUGAGGACUCUGUGCUGGAGCUUUGGGGCUUCUGGAGCCUGUGCCAGGAUCCUUAAAAACUAGUAACUGAUACCCCCCAACAUAGUGUGAAAUGCUCGGUUAUUAAAAUGAGAGCAAAUCCCACUGGAAUGUUUUACACGUUUACUAGGUGUAUGUCAAGGUAAAGGACAACACUAGUGAAUUAUGGGUUGGAUUUGGAUCCAGGGAAUUGAAUCCAGGGGCAGGCCGAAAGAAAACGAGACCGGGGAGGCGUUGCUCAGGGUGACAGUUCUGACUGCCAGGAUAUAAAUGUAGCCCACCCUCAGCAUGCUCCACAAAAAACUCCGCGCCCCCUACAGUUAAAACACACACAUGUCAAACUUUAUUGGCCUUAAUAGUAAAUGCCAGAAUGAUAAAUAAAACAGUAUCAAGAGUCCCGCUGUGGGGAGUUUAGUAUGAAAGAUCAAUGAAAGGCUGUCUACGGGGAGUAGGCUAAAAGCAUCCGUGCCAUCUGCGGAAGCAGUGGGUUGACAUGGCACACUAAUCUCCUCUGGUUUUUUGUGUUUGGGGUCCACGACGUCCAACAGGCUCACUGACAGCUGCACGUAGAAGCAAAUCUGAACCAUGCUCCCGAACGGAGCAACUGCAAGCUGAUGACACACGCUUUGUUUAGGGAAAAGAUUUUUCUUCUCUUUCCCGUUUUAGUGGGAUCACGAGUCUGGAUGUACUAAUAGGAGAAAAAGAGUACCAAUUAGGGAUGUAGACCACGCCGGCCUCAGUUAUUUCCAAACCACUUAAAAUGUGUAAUAAAUGAUCAAAUAAGACAACUCCGUUUUAAGCUCACAGUCGGAUUUGGUUUUCCUCAAGAGCACAUUGGCUCUAAUAACAGAGCGGGCCUUUGAUUUAGCUCUCAGUAACAGGCGAGUAGGCUGCAGACAGAAAACUUUCUGCUGUUUGUGGUGGUUAAUCAGAGAGCUGGAGGCAUGUGGGCAUAUCCCCCUCCUUGGCUUGAGGAUGAUGGCUGGUGUGAGGUGGAUUUUUGCUGGUUGACGGAUCUCCUAGAUCCCUAAAACUGCUCAAUGUUAUGAUUUAUGUCCCAAACUGGGACACACGUAAGAAAAUGCUUAGUCUGAGCACUGAGUCAUGGAAUAGAAAGUCAAUGCCCCAGGGCUUUAUGCAUGUUGGUAUGGCCAAUUCCCAGAAUCCACUGCAGCUACUCCUGCAAAAAAUAGUCCAGACAUGAGCAGGGAUAUGAAAACAUGUGAACUAAAUCUUUGAACCAAAAACAAAACCACUUCUUUCCAUUUUUCUUUACAUAAUGCAGCACUUUGAUCACAGCCAAACAAGGAAAGUGAACCACUUUGAUUAUCCAUUGGCAUUAUGCCUGAAAAAAAAUCCCUCCUGUGUUAAGUUCUGAUAAGAGCUCAUCCAGCAGGAUUUCUCCCACCACUCCCGUUCCCUCGAGAAAUCACCAUCAGCUCUACGCCUGACUUUCAAAUGCUAUGACUGAGUUGUACAAACACCGCGGCCACAGAGGGGUGCGUGCAUGGUAAAGUAAUGGGAUGUAAAAUGGUAUUCAAAAAAGGUGGGAAUGAAAAGAAUGAAGAAAGUAUUAUCUUAUCAUAUAUAUUUAUUUAUUAUCCUUGAAUGUAGCCUUUAAACAAUGGUUCUGAAGUCCAAUAAAGCCCCAAACAAGAUGCUCCAGCCGGUUCUUAGCAAGCCUCCGCAUUCAUGUAAUCGCAGCUGGUGUGCAGACUUGCGCGUGCCCCUUAAAAUCUGAAACAUUGGGGUCCGUGGUUGGACCAACAGGGCACAACUCCUUUUUGAUCAUUGGGUUCUAAUUUUUGUGACCAAAGGUUGCAAUCAGUUGGUGGUCUCACAGAACAGUAUUCUUUUGACAACAUAGAAGGAUCAACAUUGCAUGAAGGAAUUGAAGCUUAUACACAGUUUUUCAUGUCAUCUUUGCGGUUAACCUCCCGGUCAUCUGGCUGCACUUUUGCCUUAGUACCAAACUACAACUCUUGUAACGUCCCGUUAGUCUCAUCAUCAUGUCUCUACCUAUCUCUGUGUGUGUGUGUUUCCCCUGAUUGCACUCAUUGUGCUCACCUGCCUGGUCCACCCAGCUGCCUCCAAUUGUCUCAUCACCCAACUGGUACAUAUACUCCCCUCUGUUCCCUGCUCCAGUUUCUGAUUGUCAUUGUUCUUCACUUUGUGCGCGUCAUGUCUCCCUUGUCAGGCCCUCGUGUUUCUUGAAUGACGGUGCCUUUUGUUGGUUUCUGCUAGCUCCUGUUUGGAGUUGAUUUGAGUUCUUUUGUUCAUCACAUUUUGGUGACCAAGACUUUCACUAAGCUACGUAUGUAACGGGAAAGUCACGUUAGUGACGUCAGUCUGUUCUUCGAUGCCUUGGUCCAUGUGUUGUGAGUCAUGCAGACGACAUAAAACCACCCAAAAUCAACCAUGUUGACCAUGUAACGUCACUCAUCUAUAGCAAAUUGUAAAUUGGCUUUUUUGAGGAAAUUGCACUUUGUUUCUUGUUCUCCUGAGUUUGUACCCUAUGGUUGAAUGCACUUAUUGUACGUCGCUUUGGAUAAAAGCGUAAGCUAAAUGACAUGUAAUGUUCAAAGUAUUACUUCAUUAAAAAAGUUGCACUAUAAAAGACUUAUUACAACGGUUACCCACGUGAUCUGUGUGACUCGGUAAUGAUCAUUUGUUCUCGUUAACGGCCGGAUGAUAAGUCUGUAUUCAAAUAUUGCCGCCAUAAAGCAUCGUCCAGUGGUUCCUAUGCUAAAGGAGCUAAGAAGGGGAACAUGGAAGCUCCUUUCCUUUAGCAUUAGAGAAUCAAAACGGCUCUUAUGAUGCCAGUCACUUGCACUACUUCCGGGUUAUUUCACUCCGUUAGGAACCUUCCUGAGCAAAUUUGACAACUUUUGCAGAUACAAAAACCCGAGUGUGUACACAGAAGGGUUAGUACAAUGUGUACAAAAGGAAUAUGCCGAGCCCAUAAGAUGUGUCCUGUCGUCCAGUCUGGUACUGUGAUGCUUUGAGCAUUUGGUAAGGGUAGAAUACACACAAUACACAAAACAAAAUAUAAAUGUCUUGACAAAAGACAUAUUUAUAUUUUUCUCUUACAAAAUCCCAAUAAAAGGUCCUCAUAUCCUAAAGACCCACUCGCUUAAGUCCAAGCUCCACGCACCACACCCUAACUCCUCAGGACAAGCACAUGGUUCUACUUUCUCCUGUCCAGAUCAGCCAAUUCACGUAUGUGUUCCCAACAGAGGACGUCACCACGGGAGAUCAUUUUACAGGGAUCACAGAGACAUCUGCUAGGAAAAUGGAAUAACAAAACUGAACCAGGUUUUUACAUGUUCGCUGGAACUCAAUUAAAAUCUGAUUAGCAGGAGUAUUAGAGGGAGAUCUUGGAGCGCCAUUGCACGUUUGGUUGCCACUAUCCCCUGGUCAGAUUACGAUGGGGAUUACCCCCAACAGGAUGACCUCUGGACAGGUGCCAGAGGGAAAGAUGGGACAGGGUUCAUGUCACCGUACCAAGUGGGAUUCACAGGGGUAGACUGGGAUCACCCAAUGACAUUCCAGAGGAAAUUCCCACUUUGUAACCACACAUGCAAGCGUGCACAUACUCCAAAUACUCAAGAAUAAUGAAUUGCAUGUACUUGGAUUACAAUAACCUGAUCUCCUUGUACUAAAGCAUUAAAAUAUCUCAACCGUGUUACUUAUAAGAUUAUCAAUUCACAGAUAUAUAGUAGCUGUGUUUUUUGCUUUACUCCAUGCGCAGAGCACGGGGACAUCAGAAUCAAAUCUAAUGAACACCUCAGCUUCACACUGUGACCACUAGAUUAUGUUUAUAGCCUCAUUUUUACACUUGUCAACACCACUCAGGACCAGAUGACAAUGUGAAAACAACCGUUUCAACCUGUAUGACAUAUAGGCCAUGGGAGGUGUAAAUAACACAUCAAUGUCCUAAUCCUGAAAAAAAGAGUGUUUGAUUUAGUGAACUACAUGUUGGAAUUCUAAUGCUUUUAACCGUAACCCUCAUCAUGAUUGCAAAGUGUAGCCCUCAGUGAAUUUACACAUGUGGUAAAGCUUGACGAUGAAGCAACAAUGCUGUUAUGACACGUUUUGUGGUAAACACCAAACCGUAUGAUCGCUGUUUGGCUUUUCAUUGUAAUGUUCACCAUCUCCAGAAUGAUCACUAUAGAAAGUCUAUGAUAUUUCCCAGCCGAGACCGAUAAUGUAGAAAAAGGAGCGUUGAGAUUCAAGAAAAGAAAAAGGAAACUACAAAAAUCCCCAGCUGCUUCCAUUCUGCACUGUUUACCAUGGUUCUCUCCAACAGACUAAAUAGGCCUGUGUUUGACUUCACCAUGCGCUACACAGCCGCUGCAACCCCAAGACCUCUACUUAGGCAGUGUGUGGAAUAAACAGCUUUCCUCAGAAGGGCCUGAGGGUGGAACCGGUGGUGGAUGCGCGAGGCGAUGGGAGAGGUGAGUGGAGGUCUUACUGGAUGAGCCGUUAUCACAGUCCAACACAGCACAGCUGCUGGAACACUUGUUUUUAUUUAUACAUUUCCAUGUGUUCUGUUGCGACAUUAUUGGAUAAUCACACUGGUCUACUUUCCAUGCCUGCCUAAGCUCACAUUACAAAAAUUAUGUAAAGACAUAGGGAAAGAAGUAGACACUGUUUUUGAUCCUAAUACACAGAGAUUUGGUUCUAGCCUUGAGGUAGGACAUACGUGGAAGCGUUUCCAAACAGCAUCAGUAGUGCCAGCUCUUCGCUGAGGCCAUUUGCUGGGAAGCGUAGCAUCUCUGAAUGCCAUGGUGAGAGAGGGGGAGCUGCAAAAAUAUAGAAAAACAAAGUCAAUCUGUACUUUCCAGCAGUUUGGAAACGCUUCUGAAGGACGGUAGAUACGCCCUGGCGAAUACACUGGAGUGAAAUUCCCUCAUUUAGGGAUCAUGACCUGUUCUCACAAGUGCAUUAUCUCUGGAAGAAAGCCUCCGUGCUGCAGAAUCAAUUAAAAACAACCAGACAGAAUGGAAGGAUUAAAAAAACAACUGCACAGCUGAUAAGAGUGUUUGAAAUCCUCAUUUAUCAGAUAAAAUGAUUAUCCUCCAAAGAAGUUGAUGUGGUCAUUAAAAACAAUGGAGCGCGAUUAUGGGUGUUUUUUGUUUGUUUUAAGUUUACAGUCAAAUGCCAAACCGCAUCGAUUGCCACAGCUGAAGCUCCCAUAUUCUCUAUGCUGAAUGACAAACUGACUGAGAAGUGCAGUCAAGUUCGAUGGAGUUGUCUGGCAAAAAAAAAAAAAAUUUUUGUUGCUUGUUUGUCCAAUUGUCUUUACGCAUUGCCGGCUCAGAGCUGUGCAGCAUCAAGGACAACCGUAGAUUGUUUCAAUGUGUGGAAAAAAAACAAAACAUCCACAGCCCUCUUCAAGGAAGUGAAAUAAUCAUAAAUAAUAAGAGGCAGAUUAUGUUUUAGUCUUUAUCAACACAAACAGACACACUCACGCUCAGCAGAAAAUCUAUAUUCUCUGUUCAGUACACAGUUUGAUAUCCCAGCCAUCAUGUUCUUUUGAAUCCAUUAAUCACUUACUGACAAGGCAGCAAAUGUAACUCCACUAUGAAAGAGGCAUUGCAGAUAAAGUCCCAUCAGUCAGACUUUGUCUGUGUGACGACAAGUCGCAGCUGAAAAGCAUCACGCCUACAAAGUCCUGGUGCAUGAGCAGGUUCUCUAAUGUCUGGUGGAGAUCAAAGUGUCACAUGAUGUAUUCUUUGCCAAAAUGAAUGCCAAAAUCAAAGCAUAAUCAGUGGUCCGAGAGAGAAUCAAAAGUCACGUCGGGUCCUUCUUCUCAGUCAUGCAGCGUCAGUGACCCUUCAGCUCGCAUCUGAGGAAAAUGGGCCGACCGACAUUGGUCGUAGUUCUGGGAACAGGAGGCUGUGGUAAAUAUGAAGGAGAACUGAUAAAAACAUUCUCAAUUUUGCAAACCAAAUUUCAAGAUCGCGUCAGCCAACCCUGUCACGUGGUCCUGAUGGAACGUGGCCUAGUUAUAGAAGAUCUGCACAUAAGUCCAGUGUUUUAAAAAAGACUUUUCUGUUUAAUAAUUCGAUAAUGUGCUGGAUGCUUCCGAAAGCGUCUUAUUACCAAGUAUUUGAAAUACAAAGUCCUACAAAUUUAUUCUUCGUAUAAGGAUAUGUUUAAAAGAUCAAUAAAACAGAUACAAGCAACUUCUGUGGAUUAUCCCAGGAAUUACUGUUGCAACAGAACCACUGUUCAGUAAAUCUUUAUCUAUUUCUGAAGUCUCUAGAAAUAGUUGCUGCCAAUUUUGAAAAAUCUGCUAUUUAUCAGCAACUGUUGAUUUAUAUAUUGUUAUAUUUUCAUGUUCCAUUUCAAAGUGUUACAUGAUGUUACAUGAAUUCUCAUUUUCCUAAAGAAACCAUAUCAAAUACAAUUUUUAAACUGAUUUAUAAUGUUACAUUUUUAUAUCAAGAUCUAAUAUCGAUCUUUCUAUCCAGAAACAUCUUUUUUUUCAGAUAUAUAUACACUGUAGUUAUCUUUCCUUAAAGGAUGUACAGCACUAUGGACCAAACGCACUACAUUUUUUAUAACGGUAGAUGUUGAAAUUGUUCAUCGUAGUUUACCCACCUUUUUGAUUUACCGCUGCACCGCCGGCCGUCAGGGAGCUGAGAGGUGAGGGGCGGCUUUGUUCUGAGGGGAGGCUGACAGCCUCUUUAUCUUCCCUCGUCAGACCGAAGACUGUUUGAUCUGACGCUUCUGUGGCUUCCAUCUCUGCUCUGAAGGUGUGAGGGAAGUGUGAUAGUGUUCAAGUCCAUGUGGUUUAUGUUUUAUGAAUGGUCCGAAUCAACCAAAAAACGCCCACACACACAUUUACUUUGCCUUUGUUUGCAUGUAUUGCACACGCGUUGCGUUCAGACAGACUUUUAAGCAUCCGAAACUAACUAAAUAUACAAUGUACACAUACUGUGCUUGAAGUGUGGCCUUGGCCCUCGCCAUAGAACUAGUUAGAGCUGCAGUGAACGUAUUUCAGGGGCUCUCUCCUGUUCUUUUGUAGGAUGGGUGUCUUUCAGCAGCUCACAUCAGAGCCCUGCAAACGGCAAUUAAAACGGAUGUGCUACACUGGCUCUGUAUGGGGAGAGAGAGAGAGAGAGAGAGAGAAGAAAAAGAGAAAUGAGAGGGGACAUGAACGAAAAGAAGUAUGCGAGGGAAAUGUACAGCAGCACCUCUCCUUCAAAACCAUGACUGAUACCGUGUCUAUUGAUCUUUUAUUACAAUAGCAGCAAGCUGUAAAAUGUUUGAUGGUUUUGUACAGAUCUUAGUCCCCCUCAUUCAUAAUUACUGCUACACAUGUAGAACCAAGGGCAACUUCAGAAGGGGCGCUGUUUGAAAAGCUGCUGCCAGACUGUGGGGAUGAUGGGAAAUCUCGGCGGGGCCUCACGGUAGCUCCAAGCCCUGAGGCUACCAUUCCUCCUGCCAAACACCUGAAGAGACGCAGGUUUUACAAAGAUCAAAUUAUGGAGCUGAUUUCAAACGCCAAAUGAGACCAACCAUGUCCCUUUACCGACAAAGUAAGUAAGUUUUAUUUAGAACUUUGGCUUUGGCCCUGAGGGUUUAUGAGAAAACUCUGUAGCACUCAUUUUUGCAAAAUAUAUUUCAGUUGGAUAUUUAGAGCAAGGUUUGGGUACUAGCAUAUGACGUUCACCAAUGCAGGUGUGAGUUUGUUUGCAUGUAAUAUAUUUUAAUAUGACGUCAACCACCACUAAAGCUUUGUCCUAAAAAAAAGUCCUCUUGCCUAAACAAUGAAGCAGUGCACAUUCUUAGCAACUUAUCCUACGCUUCUGUUGGGAAAAAAGUGUGCAAUAGUACACCAGAUCGGACCGUAUACGUCGGCCCUCGUGUCUUGUCUCCUGCCUGUCUGCCUCACACCGUCCCCCCUUCAACUAUGUUAAAGCGUCUUUGAGACAUUUAGAAAAGCGCUAUAUAAAACCAAUUUAUUAUUAUUAUUAUUACACCAGGACCUCCAGUCUUCUCAGUUUCCCCUCUCUGCUCAAUUUUAAUGUUUUCUGAGUUGGCGUUAGGGGAGAUACAGGGCAGAGAGUGGGGGGACAGCAGACCAGAAUACAAGAAAAUAUAUCUGGAUCCGUGGCACCGGAUCAUAGGACAGUGGUUUGUGAUAAAAGGGAUAACAAGACAGGUUUUUUUGCAUAUGGAGAGGUAGAGAGCGCAAGACUGGCCAAGGUCAAAAUCCAUCAAAAACAUUGACGUUUACAAAAGCUUACAAUCCGGAUACAAAAAACGUUCUCAUCGUAUGCGUAUACCGGGGACAGGUAGUAUGAAUCCCAAUAUACUUGUUUAAACAAGCACAUUUGGGCAAGAUAGCAGCAAAAACUGAAGAGAUAAUGAAAAUAAUACGUGUAAUUGCUAACCAGCCUCUUUCGAAAAUCUUAAAUAUCACAAAAUUAUUUAAGAAAAAAAAAAAAAAAAAAGGUACAAUCACGGUUAAUAAUCGAACGUGAUUUCUAUGAGUCACGAUAUCACAUUAAACUUGGCGAGUUACUGCAUUACACACAUUAACCCGAUCUAAUACGGCGUGGGGUUGAAAACAUGAACCUAAAGAGUUGUCAAUCUAAGACCUCGUUUACACGACGGGAAAACGUUUAUAUUUUCAUGUGUUUUGGUCUUUCAUUUACACACAAACAGAGGUUUUAUCAUGGAAAACGAUCAUUUCUAAAAACUCCGGGCCAAAGUGGAGAUUUCUGAAAACUCCGUCUUUGUGUUUGCGUGUGAACUAGGUCAAGCGGAGUUCUAGGUUGUCAAACGUCACAGUGUGCAACUAAAAAUGCUUCACGUCAUGUGAGCGUCCUAUGUUUAAAGUUUUUUAGUUUUCUUAGGCUACUGAUCAUGGAUGGUGUCAUGGUAGUGCUUAUUUGUGCAUUAAUGCAAACCCUUUUGGCCUGUUUCUAUUUACAAACAACUGAUUUUUUACAUCGAGGAGCAGAGGCGAAGAACUGCAUGGAGGUCAGCAGUUCUUCUUCAGCUUUCUACACUCCCAAGACAUAGGUACAUUGCCUGCCAACGUCCCCGCCGAAAGUUUUGGAACCGACCAGGGCGAACCGCUGUCUGGUGGGAAAACUUCGAAAAAGAACACGUCCUCCCGGAAGAAUGGCAUGAAAACUUUAGAAUGUCGCGCUCAUCACUUCUGUCUCUGAGUUAAUGCGCUCGGGGCCGUAUUUAUGCGGGUUCAUAUAGACAAGUUUCCCGGGCACUUCCGGUCUACUUCCUGUUUCUGCAAAGAACUUCCGGUGCACGCUGAGUAGUGGUGUAAAAAUGGCUUUGGAAUGGCAACAUUCGACUGAAAAUCUUGUUAAAAAUGGUGUUUUGACCAUUCCACAUCCAAGUAAGGUAACAUCAUGGGCGGACAACAUGUCGAUAUGCAUCACAACAUCCAAGAUCUUUUCUUAUUUAAACUGAGAUGUAAGAACUAAUGUCAGGCCUGCUGCCUUUGCUGCCCCAGUUAAUGACUGCUGUGUUGCAAAACAGCAUCCAUCAAACUCUUGUGACCUCGGUGUUCCGUUCAAUCGAGGUGGAUUUGUGUCACUUUUGGGAAGUGAGGUGAAGAUGGGUGCCUAUGAUUUAUAUCGGUUUUGCCUUUGUCCAAAGCGACUGAGACUGGUGAUUCAGUCGUGGGAUGGGAUUGAAGAUUCUUCCUUCCUUUGCAAAAAAGGUGUAGCUGCAAAUUGAAGGUGUACAUUUUGUAUUUGGCAACGGGUUGGCUGAUAGAGUUUGGACUGACACUCCUCCCGCACCGGUGGUCAACGGUUUCAUCAGUUGAUUCUACGUCUGACAAGAGCUCCAGAGUGUUGCCUGGAGGUCUACUCAUUCUGCAUAUUUACACGCGCUACACUAAAAAAAACGAUUCAAGCCCUUCUUAGAUGUGACAAGUUUAAAUGGUGUUUGCUUCAUUUGAAUACAUCUAUUAAAAAGGUGAACAUAUAUAAUCAAUAGCAGCAACUUAAAAUGGUUUUUAUAGUUUCACUUCUGAAACUGUGUCAACUCAAAUAAAUUAAUUAAUCAAUGACUAUGCUUUGCGCAUGUGCCACAUUCUGCGCCUUUAGCGUCGUUCUGCAUUUUUUUGCUGACUGAAAUUGGCUGCAUCAUACUUUUUUCUGGCUCUGGUAGAAAUCCAUUAUUUGGUAAGUAACGUUAACUGUAUUUUUGUUACGUUGUUCAAUAACGCUUGUUAAUAAUAAAAAGUUGUGAAACGUUGUUAAAAAGUUAAACCAGGGAAAUUCUGCUCCAUUUUACUAAAGUCCGAUUGGGCAGCAUUCAAGCUAGUUAGCUGAGCGUGUUUAGCAUCAUGACCAAAGGUUAGUAAGUCAGUCAGUCAGUCCCUGUCAGUUAACCCCGCUUUAGCUAACGUUAACUUGCGUUAGCUAAAGCGGCGCAUGUUUCUGAGGGUACGUUUUUUUUUUUAAACAUCGACUUCCCUGUGACAUUUGGAGUAUUUUAGCAUUUCACUUCUCUAAUACAUGUAUCUCAUCCUUUAUAGUUUGGCUCAGUAUCACCAAGGCUAUGGAGGAAACCUCUGUAUGAUAGUAAGUAAUAGUCUGUAUGCUUAAUGCUUUUUCACUGUCAUUUGUGUUUAGUGGGAUGUAUGCUAAUUAUCCUGUUCUCUUUUAUAGGAUUCUGCAUGCAGAGGUGUAAGGAAUGUGGUUUGGAUCUGGAUUUGAGGUUGUGUUAAAAGGGAUGUGGCCGCAUAUAUUAAAACAGUCGCAGAGAAAGUGUCGGAGUUGAAUUGUGUCAUUGCAACACCAGAACGUAGGAAGGACUUUUGCGCAUGAAUGUUUCACUUACGCACAUGCAUGAACUGGAUUUGCGCACUCGGAUUUUUACAGCGAUUUGGAUAUUUAACAUAAUUACGUAAGGCAGAGGUCAACGUUUUUCAAGCCAAGGUCCCCCAAACUGAUGGCGAGGUGGAGCUGGACCCCCUAUUCUACGGAAUUUGGUCCGCCAUCUUUUAUUUUUGAGCUUCACGCUCUUUAGACGUGAGCAUAAACGCGAUCUGAUUGGCUGGUGCCGGCGCUGUCAUAUUCGCAUGAAAGGAGCUGUGAGUGAACCGGUGCCCAGCUUGAGAGCUGCUGAGGGAAGCUGAAUGUGUGUGUUGCGGACUGACAGAUAAUGUCUUCUCCAUCAAUUUAUCCGUUCGCUUCAAUAUGUUGGAUUCAUGUAAUGUGUAUUUAAAGACCAUAAAUAAAAUUCUGAUUCUGAAGACAUUUACAUUUGUGGGGGAAAAACAUUGUUAAUAAAAAUUGUCCUAUCAACCAAAAAUUUCGCGACCCCCCCUGCAGUACCUUCGCGGACCCCCUGUUGAAGACCUGACGUAAGGGUUUUUUACCCAUUGGCACACACAGAGUGCUCCCUGCUUUCAUCUGCACGGAUAUUUAACACCUGGGUUUGCUCAUUGUUCUAGUUUGAAGCACUGAAACUAGAACCACCAGAAGUUAUUUUCACUGGGAGUGAUUUCAUUUAACUGUGUUGAAUAAUCGGCCAAUUAACUGCCGCUAUUGCUUUCGUUAAAAGCAGACUGUGUUUAAAAUAUAAAAGCUUAAAAAAAAAAAAAAAAAUAGCCUUCUAAAAAAAGCAAAAAGUUUUUUCGCUUAUCCUGUGACAUCAUCAUUGUCACUCAUUCAGGCUUUGAUGUUGACCCUCUGACAUCAUCGAGGGAACCGACCAAUGAGGUUUUAGAACUCUUAUGGACACGCCCCUUUCCUUUGAUCUUUGCUAUGACUGCAUUGUUGGUCAUUAGUCAAGCCCCCUGCCUUUGAUCUAACUGCCCGAUUGUUCAUUAGCAGUUCAACUUAACAGCUACACACAUGCACACACAGACGUCUGACAGCAUGUACCCAAGACAAAGCAGAGUUUGUACCCCUGCAGUGCAAUUGGCACAGCUGACUGAUGCCAAGGACAAGAUUGUCCAACUGACAAUUCAGCUGAUGGAACUGGAGGAUUUCAAAAGGUACACCCUCCAAGACGGACAGAAUUUCCACCUCAAAAUGCAACAACACAAAGAGAGAAUGGAAGACCUGGAAAAGACUGAGGCAAAAUACAAGCUAGCACUGGAAACGGUCUCUGUCCAAAACCAACAGAUCUCUAUGCUAUGCGAAGAGAAAGAUGCAUGGCAGAAAGAAAAGACACUCUUGGAGGACAUUUGCCUGGAUCUGAAAAGAAAAACUCAAAGCGUUUGUAUGAUGGGGGGCCGCAAGUUCGAGCUGGGGAAAAUGAAGAGACAAAAGCUUGCUCAACAGGAAGAUAACACGGAGAAUGAAUUUUCCAGCGCGACGCUUGAGGUCGACCAAAAUGUGGAAAAGGUCGCCUCUCUCCCUUCUCCAGCACAAGAUUGUUUGGAGAACCUUCAAGUGACGGGGAUGACCGAGGCUAAGCAGACCAUCGAGACACAAGGGUCAGAAAUCUCCCGUCUGAAGGAGAGUCUUCAAGAUCUCCAGAAGACAGUUGAAGAUCAUGAGGCAGACAUUCAAAAGCUCUCUGAACAAAAUCUCCUGCUUGUAAAGGAGGCAGACCUCCAGAGGUCCACCAACCUCAACCUUCAGAAGCAGCUCUCAAAGAGCAGAAGUCUCCUCACGGCAAAGACAACCGAAGUCCUCCAGAUCCAGACAAACUUUGAGAAACCGUAUUAUAUUCUGAUGGCAGAACACAAUAAUCUGCGGAUAGCCCUCCACGCUGAGCAGGCCAAGCGCAAGUGCCUGGAGGAGAUUAAUAACCUCCUGGUGAAAGAUCAGAAGCUCCUGGAGGACAUCUGCCUGCAGAUGAAGAAAAGGCUCCUAGGAAUCUUUGGAAGGAGGAUGGAAGACAGAGACACAGAGAUGGCAAAGAUGAGGAGAAAGAUGCCGGGAAUGGAGACUGAGAGGGGAGUUUUCCACAGGAUCUUCAGGAGGUAGACUCCCUUUUAAGUUUUUCUCCCGGUGCUCGGGUUUUUCAAAAAAUAUAGGCUGGUGGUAGACAGUGGUUAGCACUGCAGAACUACCUCCAUUAGUCCUUCCCUCUCUUCCCCUAUGAAGUUUUUCUCCCGGUGCUCGGGUUUUUCAAAAAAACAUUCUCUUUAGGCUGGUGGUAGUGUCAUAGCUGAAUGAAGAGAAUAACUCAAACACAAUGGCAAUAACGCGUGGCGACUGCAGCAGGGAGUGAAGGCCAGGUUUGCCUCCUCUGGAUCUCUCUUAACUGGCAGGGGUAUGGCAUAUAUAGACCGUAGGAGACACCGGGCCCAGGUGCUCUCCAUUACAUUACAUUACAUGUCAUUUAGCUGACGCUUUUAUCCAAAGCGACGUACAAUAAGUGCAUUCAACCACAGGGUACAAACUCAGGAGAACAAGAAACAAGAAAGUGCAAUUUCCUCAAAUAAGCGAAUUUACAAUUUGCUAUAGAUGAGUGACGUCACAAGUACAAUUUAAGUGCUACAAUUUGUUAGUCUUUAGUCGAGGUAGAGUCUGAAGAGGUGUGUCUUUAGUUUGCGGCGGAAGAUGUGAAGGCUCUCUGCGGUCCUGAUGUCUUCAGAGAGCGCGUUCCACCAUUUCGGCGCAAGGACAGCGAAGAGUCGAGACCUAGUCGAGUGUUUUGCUCUCAGUGAGGGAGGGACGAGUAGUUUUGCAGAUGCAGAGCGGAGAGUGCGGGUUGGGAUGUAGGGUUUGACCAUGUCCUGGAUGUAAGCUGGACCCGAUCCAUUCACAGCAUGGUACGUGAGCACCAGUGUUUUGAACUGGAUGCGGGCGGCCACCGGUAGCCAGUGAAGAGAGCGGAGGAGUGGAGUAGUGUGGGAGAAUUUCGGAAGGUUGAAGACCAGUCGAGCUGCUGCAUUCAGAAUGAGCUGCAGAGGUCGAAUGGCGGUGGCAGGGAGACCUGCCAGGAGGGAGUUGCAGUAGUCCAGGCGGGAGAUGACAAGAGCCUGAAUCAGUACCUGCGCUGCCUUCUGAGUGAGAAGGGGACGUAUUCUCCUGAUGUUGUAGAGCGUGUAUCUACAGGAUCGCGUUGUCGCAGUGAUGUUGGGAGUCAGGGAGAGUUGGCUGUCGAGUGUGAAU
ensembl:lncRNA